CAGAGAGGCGGAGAAACGAAGUCGGAAAACAAAUUUAAAACAUUUUUGAGUCACUCCCUCUCUUUGCUAGUACUGUGAAAAAACGUCGUUACGGCAGAGGUCUGGAUACUAAAACAAACUCUGGAGCUGCUUUUCUGUCGUUAAUGAAGAGGGCUGCAUGCUAAAACAAACUCUGGAGCUGCUUUUUGUCGAACAUGAGUGAGACUGGACGCUGAGCACACCUGCGGCACAAAGCUCCAAGUGACCUCACUUUGUCCACGAUCACAUAGAGUCUUCGUACAAUGCAGGAAUUCUUUGAGACCACAACAGAGGCCUCCAGGAUUCAAACUUAAACCAUUAAAUCGCAGAGAGUAGAGGCAGACAUGAAGACGUUUCCAGAAGGUCUUCAGCUGCUGUCGUCUUCUCCUCCUACAGAGACAAGAACACAUGUUAAUCACAGAAACCGAUCAGCAAAUCAAAAUAUUUGUAGGACAUUCUAUUCUGACAAUUUUUAAAAUGUUUUUGACUACUAAACUAUGACAUGCAGCUUAAGACAAAGUAGCUGUCUUAUGUCUGUUUUCCACAGACACACAUUCACACCUCUACUCAGUGUUUGUGGGUAAGGUUAGAUUUUCAUUUAGCAAUUUUUCUGUUUGAAAUAUCAGUAACUGUGACUCAAAUUGAAUCUAUUACUAUGUACAUAGUCCUGUUUAUACUGUUCAUAUUGUGUUUAAUUCUUAUAUAUUAUGUAUUAUCUUGUUUUGUGUGUGUGUAUAUAUAUAAAAAAUGCCCUUUUAAUUUUUGCUGUUGCAACACUGAAUUUCCC